rnacentral:lncRNA from 1 species
UGUGUGUCUGUGUGUUGAGUGUGAGUGUGUAUGUGUGUGUAGGGGUCGGGGUGGGGGGGUCCGUGUUCGCGAUCUGAACCUUUGGUACCUACAAGGAGGGUGUCUCACCGAACGGUAGCUAAGACCUCACCAGGACCGCGCGAAGUGAGGAGUCGCGUCCAAAGGCGCCCGCCGGAGCCUCGUCUCUGGGCCGGACCCCAACCCGAGCGGCCGAAAGGAACCCCCCGCCCGGAUCACAGCUGCCGCUGAAAUUCGCUGCGGCCGCUGCCUCUUCCCGCUUUAAUCCCAGACCUCCAGUCAUUGGGCAGCUCCUCAGAGGCAAGAAGUCAACACCAUGGCAACCCGACAAGCCUAUCAGAUCACCGGCUGGUGUGACAGCAGCAACGCUGCAGGCUGGAGUGGGCUGGGCAGAAGAGCAGAGUGGCCUCUACGCUCAGAGUUGUUCAAUGAAGAACCACCAAGCACACAGAACUGAAAUUUGGUUAUAGUUUAAAUGGUUAUUUCAGUGCCAAGUUAUUGACAUCCUUUAAUAUUUUUGCCUAGUUCAUAUUACAUUUGCCACGUACUGAGUGUUUACAGUGGGAAAUGUAGGAAGAAACAUAAUAGCACAAUUUUACAUUAAAAUGCAUAUAUUUAAUUCGUUAUCUCUCAGAAACAAACUUGUAAAUUUAAAAUGUUUUUAAAGAGAAGUUAAAUAAAGUGUGCAAAAAUCUUUCAGUACAUUUUGGCUUCAGUAAGAAUAAAGGAAUACAGGAAAUAUGAUAACAUUAAAAAUUUUAUUAUUUCAUUUAAUGAAUGGUACAUCCUCAGUUAGUGGAAUACCUUAGGUUCUAUAAUACUACCUGUGUACGGGUGUGCGUCUGUAUGCUAGUCAAAGAUGUGAACAGAUACUGUCAUUCAACUGUUUAUCUAUAUGUA